AAUCUCAUAAAAAGUGUUAUGGUUAUAAACAAGUGGAGCAGGGAGAAAUGGCUAUGGGAAUGUGUGUACACAAGGAUAUAUGCACAGUA